CCUACGGGUGGCAGCAGUGAGGAAUAUUGGUCAAUGGGCGUAAGCCUGCACCAGCCAAGUCGCGUGAGGGAUGAAGGUUCUAUGGAUCGUAAACCUCUUUUAUAAGGGAAUAAAGUGCGGGACGUGUACAGUUUUGUAUGUACCUUAUGAAUAAGGAUCGGCUAACUCCGUGCCAGCAGUCGCGGUAAUACGGAGGAUCCGAGCGUUAUCCGGAUUUAUUGGGUUUAAAGGGUGCGUAGGCGGCCUUUUAAGUCAGCGGUGAAAGUCUGUGGCUCAACCAUAGAAUUGCCGUUGAAACUGGGAGUCUUGAGUAUGUUUGAGGCAGGCGGAAUGCGUGGUGUAGCGGUGAAAGUCUUAGAUAUCACGCAGAACCCCGAUUGCGAAUGCAGCCUGCCAAGCCAUGACUGACGCUGAUGCACGAAAGCGUGGGGAUCAAACAGGAUUAGAUACCCUAGUAGUC
rnacentral:rRNA from 1 species